AAACUGCGAUACGUAGUGUGAAUUGCAGAAUUCAGUGAAUCAUCGAAUCUUUGAACGCAAAUUGCGCUGCUGGGCUAUUCCCGGCAGCAUGCUUGGCUGAGUAUCAUCUGGACAAAUCGGUCUAUCUUUUGAUGAUUGGAAGUGAGGGUCGCAAUUAAUAUUUUUAACUGCGUCCCUUCAAGUCUAGUAUGGUAUUAGUAUGUAUUUGCUAGUUUAUAUGCGAAUCAUGUCUUUUGCCGUUCAGUGUGUAAAGUGUCUAUGCAAUGAGGGAUCCUCUCUGCACCAGAACAUGAGCACUGAGUUACAGCGGCAAGGUGACAUGACGGCCAACAAAACUUUGAUCUCAGCUCAAGCAAGACUACCCGCUGAAUUUAA
rnacentral:misc_RNA from 1 species